rnacentral:rRNA from 1 species
CUUCAAUACUACCAUAGAACCCUGAAAACACUUAAUCUAAUCUGAUCUGAGAUGCUGAGCAGGGUCAUGCCUGGUAAGUAUUUGGAUGGGAGACCUCAAGAAACACCAGGGAUCUUCAGGU